rnacentral:rRNA from 1 species
GUGGGGAAUAUUGGACAAUGGGCGCAAGCCUGAUCCAGCCAUGCCGCGUGGGUGAAGAAGGCCUUCGGGUUGUAAAGCCCUUUUGUCCGGAAAGAAAAGCACUGGAUUAAUACUUCGGUGUACUGACGGUACCGGAAGAAUAAGCACCGGCUAACUUCGUGCCAGCAGCCGCGGUAAUACGAAGGGUGCAAGCUUUACUCGGAAUUACUGGGCGUAAAGCGUGCGUAGGUGGUUCGUUAAGUCUGAUGUGAAAGCCCUGGGCUCAACCUGGUAAUUGCAUUGGAGACUGGCGGGCUAGAGUGCGGUAGAGGAUGGCGGAAUUCCCGGUGUAGCAGUGAAAUGCGUAGAGAUCGGGAGGAACAUCUGUGGCGAAGGCGGCCAUCUGGACCAGCACUGACACUGAGGCACGAAAGCGUGGGGAGCAAACAGGAUUAGAUACCCUGGUAGUCC